CCCUUAGAUGUUCUGGGCAGCACGCGCGCUACACUGAUGCAUUCAACGAGCCUAUCCUUGACCGACAGGUCCGGGUAAUCUUUGAAUCUGCAUCGUGACGGGGAUAGAUUAUUGCAAUUAUUAAUCUUCAACGAGGAAUGCCUAGUAGGCACAAGUCAUCAGCUUGCGUCGAUUACGUCCCUGCCCUUUGUACACACCGCCCGUCGCUCCUACCGAUUGGGUGUGCUGGUGAAAUGUUCGGAUCGGCCGUUUGUCGCGGUUUCCGCGGCUCGUGGCUGAGAAGUUCAUUAAACCCCCCCACCUAGAGGAAGGAGAAGUCGUAACA
rnacentral:rRNA from 1 species